GAUGAACGCUGGCGGCGUGCUUAACACAUGCAAGUCGAACGGAAAGGCCAGUGUUUGCACUGGUACUCGAGUGGCGAACGGGUGAGUAACACGUGGGUGAUCUGCCCUGUACUUCGGGAUAAGCUUGGGAAACUGGGUCUAAUACCGGAUAGGACAACUUUUUGGAUAUUGUUGUGGAUAGCUUUUGCGGUAUGGGAUGAGCUCGCGGCCUAUCAGCUUGUUGGUGGGGUAAUGGCCUACCAAGGCGUCGACGGGUAGCCGGCCUGAGAGGGUGUACGGCCACAUUGGGACUGAGAUACGGCCCAGACUCCUACGGGAGGCAGCAGUGGGGAAUAUUGCACAAUGGGCGCAAGCCUGAUGCAGCGACGCCGCGUGGGGGAUGAAGGCCUUCGGGUUGUAAACUCCUUUCGCUAGGGACGAAGCGGAAGUGACGGUACCUGGAGAAGAAGCACCGGCUAACUACGUG
rnacentral:rRNA from 1 species